GCGAAUCUGAGGGAGCUUGCUCCCAACGAUUAGCGGCGGACGGGUGAGUAACACGUGGGUAACCUGCCUGUAAGAUUGGGAUAACUCCGGGAAACCGGAGCUAAUACCGGAUAACAUUUUGAACCGCAUGGUUCAAAAUUGAAAGAUGGUUUCGGCUAUCACUUACAGAUGGACCCGCGGCGCAUUAGCUAGUUGGUGAGGUAACGGCUCACCAAGGCAACGAUGCGUAGCCGACCUGAGAGGGUGAUCGGCCACACUGGGACUGAGACACGGCCCAGACUCCUACGGGAGGCAGCAGUAGGGAAUCUUCCGCAAUGGACGAAAGUCUGACGGAGCAACGCCGCGUGAACGAUGAAGGCCUUCGGGUCGUAAAGUUCUGUUGUUAGGGAAGAACAAGUACCAGAGUAACUGCUGGUACCUUGACGGUACCUAACCAGAAAGCCACGGCUAACUACGUGCCAGCAGCCGCGGUAAUACGUAGGUGGCAAGCGUUGUCCGGAAUUAUUGGGCGUAAAGCGCGCGCAGGCGGUUUCUUAAGUCUGAUGUGAAAGCCCACGGCUCAACCGUGGAGGGUCAUUGGAAACUGGGGAACUUGAGUGCAGAAGAGGAGAGUGGAAUUCCACGUGUAGCGGUGAAAUGCGUAGAGAUGU
rnacentral:rRNA from 2 species